UGCGCCUGCGGCGGACCCGGCACGGAAAUAUAACGGCUUCGCAGGCAGCUUUCCGCUGUACGGUCUUGUACAUCCCAUAAUUUAUGGGAUUUAACGUCUUC
rnacentral:sRNA from 1 species